AGUCGGCACACGCACAAUGGAUUUCCAUAACAUUUUCUGUUUUCACUUAUAUCUCUGCAGUUAUUCCGUUUCUACCCAAAUCAGUUUUACCGUCGCCAAAGAGCCAGAGCGUAAGAAGGGCAUUAAACGACCCCGAACUCUAUACAAGGCAACGUAAAACGACAAAUACAAUUGUGCCCACGGAUCGAUGGAUGAAGGGGCGACUGAUAUCGCAGUAGUUUCGAAGGUUACGUGUUCUUCACGCUUUUGCGAGGGACAAAAACACCUUACGGGCCUGUCCAUAUCUGUCUCUCGCGGGUCUUCUACGAGGGUAGACAACCUGCACGGUCAGGCGUCAUUGCUGUGCAACAAUGGGACAGGACGUCUCAUCGUCGGAACACAGUGUGGUGUAACAAUGACCUCCGAUCGCAUAAGUGUAAGAAUUAGCAAUGUGAUGCAGCGUGAACUCCAAAGAGAACAACUUCCCAGUCUGGUUUCAGGGGACAGAAGAGUUACCUAACUAAAACGUGUCCGGCUGUGCCUUAAUGUCCGGAUUGUGUGACGGAGUUUUGAGACCAAAGCUGCCAUUUGACAUUCUAUGACAUCAACGAGCAAUUCUCUCCGUUUGCAACACAUAAGAGUCGGUGUUAAAUUCAGAGAUGUUCUAAAAACAGCUCUUGAAAGAAAAGUUAGGUUAUGGCAAACUACCGACUUAGAAAGGUAUUACAUUAUUUCAUGUUGUGGCAUGUAUGUACAUACGUAUUUAAAUAAACAGGAUUAAAUGUGAA